rnacentral:pre_miRNA from 1 species
UCGCUCUCAAAGUGGCUGUGAAAUGCGUCCUUCGAGGGAAUAAUCCUAUCCGCAUAUCACAGCCAGCUUUGAAGAGCGUCA